GACGAACGCUGGCGGCGUGCUUAACACAUGCAAGUCGAACGGUAAGGCUCCUUCGGGAGUACACGAGUGGCGAACGGGUGAGUAACACGUGAGUAACCUGCCCCAGACACUGGGAUAAGCAGAGGAAACUCUGUCUAAUACCGGAUACGACCCGCACCGACAUCGGUAGCGGGUGGAAAGCUCCGGCGGUCUGGGAUGGGCUCGCGGCCCAUCAGCUAGUUGGUGAGGUAACGGCUCACCAAGGCAUCGACGGGUAGCCGGCCUGAGAGGGCGACCGGCCACACUGGGACUGAGAUACGGCCCAGACUCCUACGGGAGGCAGCAGUGGGGAAUAUUGCACAAUGGGCGAAAGCCUGAUGCAGCAACGCCGCGUGCGGGAUGACGGCCUCCGGGUUGUAAACCGCUUUCAGUUCCGACGAAGCGAAAGUGACGGUAGGGACAGAAGAAGCACCGGCCAACUACGUGCCAGCCGCCGCCGUAAUAC
rnacentral:rRNA from 1 species